rnacentral:rRNA from 1 species
AGAGUUUGAUCAUGGCUCAGAUUGAACGCUGGCGGCAUGCCUUACACAUGCAAGUCGAACGGCAGCAUGAUCUAGCUUGCUAGAUUGAUGGCGAGUGGCGAACGGGUGAGUAAUACAUCGGAACGUGCCCUGUAGUGGGGGAUAACUAGUCGAAAGAUUAGCUAAUACCGCAUACGACCUGAGGGUGAAAGUGGGGGACCGCAAGGCCUCAUGCUAUAGGAGCGGCCGAUGUCUGAUUAGCUAGUUGGUGGGGUAAAGGCCCACCAAGGCGACGAUCAGUAGCUGGUCUGAGAGGACGAUCAGCCACACUGGGACUGAGACACGGCCCAGACUCCUACGGGAGGCAGCAGUGGGGAAUUUUGGACAAUGGGGGCAACCCUGAUCCAGCAAUGCCGCGUGUGUGAAGAAGGCCUUCGGGUUGUAAAGCACUUUUGUCCGGAAAGAAAUCGCACUUACUAAUAUUAGGUGUGGAUGACGGUACCGGAAGAAUAAGGACCGGCUAACUACGUGCCAGCAGCCGCGGUAAUACGUAGGGUCCAAGCGUUAAUCGGAAUUACUGGGCGUAAAGCGUGCGCAGGCGGUUGUGCAAGACCGAUGUGAAAUCCCCGGGCUUAACCUGGGAAUUGCAUUGGUGACUGCACGGCUAGAGUGUG